rnacentral:rRNA from 1 species
GACAAAUAGGUCGAAUUAAAAUUAAUGACAGUAAAAAAGGAGGUUAAGAAUUAAUAUUUUGAAAAAUAAUGUUUUUUAUGAAGGUGGAAUUUAUAUAAAAAGAGGUAAUUUUUGUUUUUCUUUUUUUGAGGCCUCGAAAUUUUGGCAUGAGACCGGGAUUAGAUACCCCGUUAUUCAAAAUGUAAACUUUGAUAAAUAAUUUACUAGAGUAUUACGAGUAUAAGAGUAUUUCUUUAAUUAUAUUGCUUAAAACUCAAAAAACUUGGCGGUGCCUUACAUCCUUCCAGGGGAACCUGUCCUAUAAUCGAUAGUCCACGUUUUAGCUUUCUUUCUUUUGAAUAUCAAUCAGCCUGUAUACCGUCGUCGUCGGGUUACCUUUAAGAGUUAUGGAGUUAUCAGUAAGAAGAAAUAGUAAAUUUAUGUUAAUAAAAGUACUUUUAGUGUUCUAGACGUCAGAUCAAGGUGCAGCUUAUAAGGAAGAAGAGAUGGGUUACAGUAAUGAUUUAUUAUACGAAUUUUUGUUGUAAUAAGCAAAACUGAAGGAGGACUUGGAAGUAAUAGGUUUAAAGAUAAGAGAGCUUAUAUGAAAAUAGGCUCUGAGGUGCGC